rnacentral:rRNA from 1 species
UACGGGGGGGCAAGCGUUGUUCGGAAUUACUGGGCGUAAAGGGCUCGUAGGCGGCCAACUAAGUCAGACGUGAAAUCCCCAGGCUCAACCUGGGAACUGCGUCUGAUACUGGAUGGCUUGAGUUUGGGAGAGGGAUGCGGAAUUCCAGGUGUAGCGGUGAAAUGCGUAGAUAUCUGGAGGAACACCGGUGGCGAAGGCGGCAUCCUGGACCAACACUGACGCUGAGGAGCGAAAGCCAGGGGAGCAAACGGG